GUGAAUCAUCAAAUUUUUGAACGCAAAUUGCACUUUCUGGUAUUCCGGAAAGUAUGCCUGUUUGAGGGUCAGUUAAAUAAAAAUCGGUGUUGUUGCUGCUUUUCGUGGUGACGCGUCGGAAUUGAGUUGUCUUACCUUCGGUUAAGUGACUUAAAAUUUUGCAUGAUUUUCGAACGUAUUAAAUUUCUUAAGUACGGUUGAGAUUAUGGAUAACUUUUUUGGUUU
rnacentral:misc_RNA from 1 species